rnacentral:rRNA from 1 species
CUGCCGUAGUCAUAUGCUUGUCUAAUACUA